rnacentral:lncRNA from 1 species
CAGUAUUGCUUCAGGAGAGAUAGCAUUUCACAGAUCUUUCCUGUAACUUCUAGAAAAGUCAUCCAGCCAGAUUUAGGUUCAAACUUCUUUACAAAGCCAUUUUCCAGCCUCCGUUUUGCCUUAUCCAUUCUCCUGUGUUAUUCAUUAUGAACUCCGCAACAAAAUAUGAAAUCUCCUUAUAGGUAUCCACAUCCGGGGCAAUUUGCUGUCGUAGAAGUUUCUUGAUGAGAAUACCUUCAAAUGCAAAUAUGGUUACAAUUCUUCCCCAGUUAAUGAUGCCGUCUUCAAACUCCUUUUCCAUCACUUGGUUGAAUAGUGUUCUGGCAGUGUCUACGGACACAACAUUAACAUUGUCCAAGCAUGACUUCAGAUUCUUUUCCACUUCUUUUUGGACUGAGAACGCAACAUUUUGUAGCACUCUGGACGUUUUGCUUGGACCUGAUCCAGGUUGUGGUAUCUGUAGGACGCACUGCAGAUAGUCCUGAGCCAGCCUGUAAAUAUAUCCAAAUUCACAGUCUGUCAU